rnacentral:lncRNA from 1 species
CUGAAAGCAUGUCCAGAAGCUUUGGUAACUCCUAACCCUUGUCCAAACCAAGGAAAUAAACAGUUGAAACUGCAAGAGGAGGAGGAGGAGAAAGAAGGUAUAUAUCAGGGUAACUGAAACAACUAGAUUUCCUUGGAGGACUGUUUCCAGCUUCUGUUGUCACAGACAAAAAACAUGCUAGAGGUAAAUAUGGGAAACACCUGUUUGAUGGAUUGGAUUGCAGUCAGUGGUUAUUGAACGAUAAUUUAC